rnacentral:rRNA from 1 species
CCUACGGGGGGCUGCAGUGGGGAAUAUUGGACAAUGGGCGAAAGCCUGAUCCAGCCAUGCCGCGUGUGUGAAGAAGGCCUUCGGGUUGUAAAGCACUUUCAGUGGGGAAGAAAGCCUUGGGGCUAAUACCCUCGAGGAAGGACAUCACCCACAGAAGAAGCACCGGCUAACUCCGUGCCAGCAGCCGCGGUAAUACGGAGGGUGCGAGCGUUAAUCGGAAUUACUGGGCGUAAAGCGCGCGUAGGCGGUCUGAUAAGCCGGUUGUGAAAGCCCCGGGCUCAACCUGGGAACGGCAUCCGGAACUGUCAGGCUAGAGUGCAGGAGAGGAAGGUAGAAUUCCCGGUGUAGCGGUGAAAUGCGUAGAGAUCGGGAGGAAUACCAGUGGCGACGGCGGUCUUCUGGACUGACACUGACGCUGAGGUGCGAAAGCGUGGGUAGCAAACAGGAUUAGAUACCCCGGUAGUC